UGAUGGAUGGCAGGAGUGAGUGAUGGAUGGCAGGUGUGAGUGAUGGAUGGCAGGAGUGAGUGAUGGAUGGCAGGUGUGAGUGAUGGAUGGCAGGAGUGAGUGAUGGAUGGCAGGUGUGAGUGAUGGAUGGCAGGAGUGAGUGAUGGAUGGCAGGAGUGAGUGAUGGAUAGCAGGUGUGAGUGAUGGA